CUAAGCCACUGCGAUUCUGCCAAUCUAAGCACGCUGAUUGGCGGCGAACGGCUCAGUAACACGUAGUCAACCUGCCCUCGAGACGAGAACAAUCUCGGGAAACUGAGGCUAAUGCUCGAUAGAUCAAGAUUCCUGGAAUGGGUUUUGGUCCAAAAGGAGUGACAGCAUCUUGUCACUUUGCCCGAGGAUGGGACUGCGGCCGAUCAGGCUGUUGGUGGGGUAAAGGCCCACCAAACCAGUAACCGGUACGGGCUUUGAGAGAAGGAGCCCGGAGAUGGACACUGAGAGAAGGGUCCAGGUCCUACGGGGCGCAGCAGGCGCGAAACCUUCACAAUGCGCGAAAGCGUGAUGAGGUUAAUCCGAGUGGUCCCCGCUGAGGGGAUCUUUUGUCGGCUGUAAAAAGGCCGGUGAAUAAGGGGAGGGCAAGUCUGGUGUCAGCCGCCGCGGUAA
rnacentral:rRNA from 1 species